GACGUAGGGCGCGGGCGUUGUCCGGAUUUAUUGGGCGUAAAGAGCUCGUAGGCGGCUCGUUGCGUCAACCGUGAAAACCCGAGGCUCAACCUCGGGCCUGCAGUGGGUACGGGCAGACUAGAGUGCGGUAGGGGAGACUGGAAUUCCUGGUGUAGCGGCGAAAUGCGCAGAUAUCAGGAGGAACACCGGUGGCGAAGGCGGGUCUCUGGGCCGUAACUGACGCUGAGGAGCGAAAGCGUGGGGAGCGAACAGG
rnacentral:rRNA from 1 species